AUCAUUCCGUGCUGGUGGCUGAUGGGGAAGGAGCGGCGCGGCUCCGCGGUGGGGCUGGGGCGCGUUGUGCUCCCCCUCUCACCGCUCUCCCCCCGCCGCUCUGCCGGAUCCUGGGGGAGGCGCCGAGGGGCGGGGAGCGGCGCUUACAGCCGGAGCCGCCCGGGGAAGGGGCGCGCAGCCAGGAGGGAGGGAAAGAUGUGAACAAAGGUGACCCCAAGGUUGAAGUUUCUUCAAGGAUGUCUUGGUCUGGAAUGUGGUUUAACAGCACAGGUGAAGAUCUUUGGAAAAGUAGAGCAUCUGUGUCAUUGAUUGGAAAUGCUGUAUACUGACAAACCUAUGGAAUCCUGUCUUGUCAGAGUCCUUAACAGAGCUGAGCAGCAGUGGUGGUCUGAGCUUGGCUCACCGUGGUGGGAAGUAGUCAUGAGGACCCGUGGUUAGUCUCCUGUUGGAAGAUGAAGAUACUCUGUUCUUAUCUGUACCUCCUGGUUUUUAAUGUUCAAGUACAAAGAAGUUGAUGUUGUGAGUAAUCACUGCAGUUAAUGUUUGAUUUUGAAUGUGGUUCACAUAUUUAUCCAAUUCCUUUGGUGCUGAAAGUCAUCUGUUGUUAAUUAUGUGAUAACAUAUAAUAUAUUAAUAUUGUAAGUACGGGUUUGCACAUAGAAGCUGAUCAUGUGUCAGGAUCUUUGGCCCAAAUCUGAAAUGCUAAAGGCACUCACUUCUGGAAGAUGCUGAAACUUUAUUGAAUUAUGUUUUUACAAGCUUCUUUAUGAUUAUCUUUUAGGUAUUUUCUGAUCUAAUGUUGAAAAGCUAUUUAGUGUAACUGCAGUUAAGUGAUUUCAUCUCAAAUGUUUAUUUUGCUAUGCACAUCUCUUCCCCCUUUUCUUUUUUUAAUGUGAAGUGCUACAGCUUUACUUUAAGUUUAUAUGGAAAGCAACUAUACUUUAAGAAGUAUGCAGGAGGAUUUCCCAUGUCUGUAAACAUACUGGGUAGUUGAGCAUUUGCUGAAAUGAGCUGCCAAUUGUUUUCUGUCUUGUAAUACUCCUUUGUAGAUCUGCUGGUAUCUGGCUUGUCCCUGCUGCAUCUAUACAAUGCGUUCCUUCAUGUUUUGUGUAACAUCUUCCUCAGUCAUUUCUGUGUAUGUAAAUACAGAAACUGGAAAGAGAAAACUCUGUUUGUGAAUUGUCCCUCUUCCUGCCCUCACUUCUCCACCCCUCCAGCGUAGCUGGAAGGUUGGUCAUGAGCAGGAAGUGAGAACAAUAUUGAUCACUGGUAUCCAGGAAUUCUGAGGGGAAAGGGGGCAAAAAUGAGCACUGGAAAACAAUCUACGUGUUCUGACAACACAUUUAUGCUUUGAGACCCUUAGAAUGGGAGUGCUGUCGGUAGAAAAAGUAAAUGAAGACCUCGAGGUGUUGGUUGCAGAAGUAUCGAAGCUAACUGCCAUUGUAAGAGGCUUGGGUGUUGGUUUUGUGCCUUCUGUUACUUGUUCAGUUAUUUAAAUCACUCCUAAUAGUGGUUAGUGAGGUGCAAGCAGAGUGAAGCCUAAACCCAGAAGGGUUUUUGUGUAUUAUUUACCUUUAUUUUAGCUUGUCAAACUCAAAGCAGAGUUACAUUAAAACAAAGUAUCUUUCAGUGGUGACUUCUGUGACUGUAUAACUCCUGCCACAUGAGUGAUUACUGUUCAUUUCUGCACUUACUAUUUGCAAGUGCUGCAUGUUUGUGUCACAACGCUGUUUUCUAACACUGUUUCAAGUAAGAGAAGAACGUAAAAAAAGGUAAUUUAAAGUGAUGUAUUUAAUGGGAAGUAGUUCUAAGUUGCUCAACUGAGAAGAGAUGAGUACUGGCAUGUCUCAAAACUUGUUUUGUUCCCCAGGAGUUAAGCAUAGAGUGUUAUCUCCCUUUUAUUUGCACAGUAUCUCGCAUACCAGCAGAGCCUGGAAAUUCAUAAUGUUUAGCAAAAUGAGGAAAGAAAUCAAGAGUCACACAUUUUUGCUGUUGGCAGUGGUAGCCUGAUCAACAUUUACCCGUCAGCCUGCCACCUCCCGUAACUUAGACACUAGUUUUUAAAACCACUUUCUGCAGCCGUUAGUCCUCAGUUUCUGGUUGCCAAAUAUGUGUUUUCUUUUUUCUUCUUGCGCAAGCUUGUUGUUACUGCUGUGCUUAUAAGAGAGGGCUUAGCUGAGUUUUGGAGGUGUAUUUAGCAGCAGAUGUACUGCAUAUUGUCCUUUUUCUUGUGACAGUCCUUAAGAGUAUUUAAGUGUGUUAUUCAGCAUUUGAUGGGUGACCAAGCUAUUCUUUGUUUAUUUUCUGAAGCAUUGAACGUUUUGUUACAAAUGUAGGCUGAUAUUAUUACAGAUAAGUGAUUUUGUUCAUGGCUUUGAUGCUUAGUGUUGCUGUGAGAAAGAUCCCUGUGCAGGGUUCAACAAAUAAUUGUGGAGAGCAGCGGUUCCACUUUCUGUGCACGUGCUACCUAUUUUGUAAAUAAGCAUUGUAUGGCUGUUGGUCUUCCUUUUAAAAGCUAUCCUGUGCAUGGCUGACUUCAAAACUCUUAUAAAAGCUUAGGAAUUAAGUCAGUGUUGUAAACUAGAAACGUGAGGUAGACUUUCAGAAUUAUUUGGAAGAGGAAAAUACGUGUAUAUGAACUGAAGGAAUCUGAGUCAAAUAAGCAGGCUGUGCAGCUUUCCUGAGGUUUGUGAAAAAUCAAAAUGCAGUAACUUGUUAGACCUGUGUGAGGAGGAAUAGAGAACAUAUAUUUCUAGCCUGUCAUAGAACGGUGUGGAUUAACACAGAAGCAAGAAAAGAGCCUCAGAUGUUCUUGCAAAACUGUGACAAAACACCUUUGCAAAACGUGAUGACCUCAGUUGUACUGUGGUAGAAUAAAACAAAAUCAGAGGUUGGAAAAAAAUGGCAACUCGUGGUAUAAAGAGGUUAAGAAAUUGAAGUAUUAAUAUUCAAGUAAAAUACAUUUAAUAAGUAGGAAAUGAAGUGAAACAGUGUACUCUGAAGCUUAUCAAAGAGUUUACAGGAAGGUUCCUGAAGAUCUGGAGAUCUCCUGAAGGAUCCUGGAGAUCCUGAAGAUCUGGAGAAUUCAACUGAAAAUAGAAAAUCCGUUCUUUUUACCUGAGCCUGUAUCUGUGUAUUUAGGAAUAAACACAGUUUUUGUUUCGUAUUUUUACAACAGCUGUUUGGGUAACCUAAAGCACACAGACCGCGAUGCUGGUAUUUACGAGGCCUGCACUCCAAGGCUGUGAGUGCAACUGGAGCUAAAGGAGCCUUGCUGUUCUGCUGGGGCUUUAUGAAAACUUCAGGAGCAUUUGACAAGUUUUACUCUAUUCAGUGGGAGGAAAAAAGGAAAUGUACUUGUAGUUUUUAAGCUUUACAGAAUGAUUAGGUUUUAAUUUAGCAAAACUAUCCUAGACAAACAUAGUGUAUUUCUUUCUUAUAGUCAAAAUAAGAAGCGCCUAUGGUAGAAAGAGUACUGUGCAAAACUUGCUCUAGUGGAUGUGAGAGCUUUUGAGUCUGACAGUUUAAGUAGCGAAGACGAAAGUGAGGACAGUUCUUGGGCAGGGGACUUGAAGAGGAAUGUGAUUCAUGGGGCAUAGUGACUGGCGUAAUUACCAGUGCAGCUGCUGUAGUAAUUUCUGCCAGUGCUAAAAAAGCCUGUCAUGGCCUGUACUCUGCUGGUCAGAGUGUAAGUGAUAACGAUGGCAGCAGCAGUGCCAACUCCAGGCUGCUGUAUGCGAUUGGAGCAGUUUCUGCUAGGUUUCAAAUUGAUAUAAAACCUUCACAGGAUUUCCUGAAGUGUUCAGGCUGAGGAAAAACUUUGGAAUUGGGAGUGGCAAGGUUUUGUUAUGUGUUUUCUGUGAGGAAUAGUAAGAGUAGUGAUACAGAGGGAUUUAAAUAAUCUGAUAAUGAGUAAAACCUGUCAAAUUCAGGCAAGGAAAACCAAGGACUUGAGCACCUUCAAUUUUAACAUUAUCAGCACAAAAGGUUUGUAAGAAAUCCAUUUGCUUCAGUAUUCUAUUAAAUAAGGUUUUAAACUUUUUGUUCUGAUAGAGCUUUCUGUCAUUCUGUAUUUUUUUAAUCACGUUCUGUAAUCUGAAACAUCUGACUUGUGGUUCAGUGUUUGUUUCCAUUUAAGCCAAGUGACACAUUUCAGAGUUGAUCCAGCAUGGAAUUUGGAGGAAGGAGCUCUUGAAGCACUGGGACAGAAGAGUGGGAAGAAACGUUCUGCUGGACCCAGGCUUCUUUCUCAUGUAAAUGGCUUGACCUAGCGAGGAAAAGCUUUUGCUGAAGAGUGAGGGGAAUUUUGAAAUACUAACCACAAAAUGUUAUUUUCUGUCACUAAUGUGCAUCAUCAAAACUCACUUCUCUAGCACUCAACAAACGUAAUUUGCAUUUAAAAUUGAAGUGGAUUGCCAAAAGUCUUACAUCAGUCUCACAUCAAAGACAGCAGAAUUUCCUAGAAUUCAGGGACUCUGAUACUUACUGUCAGAGCAAUCUGUUUAACUGCCUAGCCCCAACAUCUGCAUUAGCAGCUCAUUGCAUUUCACCUGUGCAGUAGAAAUAAUAAUUUUGUCCUAUUUGAGAGAAGGCUUAGCUUCCUUCCUAGAUGUUCUAAGUGUAAACUGUAAAUACAUAUGCAGUGUUCCUAAUUUCUUUCAGUCUUCCUUAUCCUCUUCAAAGAGUUUCCAGAUCUUGCUCUUUUUCAACCUUUUAUUUACCUUUGAUUUCAUUUCUGCCAUUUCCAUCUCCUGUUCUUAAUAACGUGCCUCCCUCAGAUUGUUGCUGAAGAAUGCCAAACAGUGUUUGUGGCUCGAUUCAAGAAAGAGAUUAAGGAGGAGAUCACAAUUUCCUGCAUCCAAAGGUAUCAGAAGAUUGUUAGCUAAUUUAUGAAAACAUUCUGUAAUCAUUGCUCAUUGUUGUCCCUGUUGACUGAUGGUACGAGUUCCACAGGCUUAAAUUCGGGCACAAGAGGAGUCCUAAAAUAACACUGCAGAGUUUCUCCUUGUGCAGCAAGCGACUCUGCUCAUCCCAAGCACCUGGUGACUGCAACCUGAGUGACAGUAAGUAGUGUAGUUCUGUGGCUUAUGUUUCCAGCAUGUAUAUAUGUGUACGCUGAGGCUCAGCCCUAAUAAAGUCACCUUUU